AAGUAUCUGGGUGAAAUCUGGGCUUCUAACCUUUGAUUUAAGUGGUUUAACUCCAUUUAUACUUU
rnacentral:tRNA from 1 species